ACACUUACCUGCCAGGGGAGAUACCAUGAUCACAAAGGUGGUUUUCCCAGGGUGAGGCUUACCCACUGCACUCUGGAUGUGCUGACCCCUUUGAUUUCCCCAAAUGUGGGAAACUCGACUGCAUAAUUUGUGGCAGUGAA
ensembl:snRNA U1 U1 spliceosomal RNA